CACGAACGCUGGCGGCAGGCCUAACACAUGCAAGUCGAGCGGAUCCUUCGGGAUUAGCGGCGGACGGGUGAGUAACGCGUGGGAAUGUGCCCUUCUCUACGGAAUAGCCUCGGGAAACUGGGAGUAAUACCGUAUACGCCCUACGGGGGAAAGAUUUAUCGGAGAAGGAUUAGCCCGCGUUGGAUUAGGUAGUUGGUGGGGUAAUGGCCUACCAAGCCUACGAUCCAUAGCUGGUUUGAGAGGAUGAUCAGCCACACUGGGACUGAGACACGGCCCAGACUCCUACGGGAGGCAGCAGUGGGGAAUCUUAGACAAUGGGGGAAACCCUGAUCUAGCCAUGCCGCGUGAGUGAUGAAGGCCUUAGGGUUGUAAAGCUCUUUCAGCUGGGAAGAUAAUGACGGUACCAGCAGAAGAAGCCCCGGCUAACUCCGUGCCAGCAGCCGCAGUAAAAC
rnacentral:rRNA from 1 species